rnacentral:rRNA from 1 species
UACGGAGGGUGCAAGCGUUGAUCGGAAUUACUGGGCGUAAAGCGCGCGCAGGCGGGCUGUCAAGUUGGAUGUGAAAUCCCCGGGCUCAACCCGUGAACUGCAAUCGAAACUGGCAGACUAGAGUCUUGUAGAGGGGGGUAGAAUUCCAGGUGUAGCGGUGAAAUGCGUAGAGAUCUGGAGGAAUACCGGUGGCGAAGGCGGCCCCCUGGACAAAGAUUGACGCUCAGGUGCGAGAGUGUGGGGAUCAAACAGG